rnacentral:rRNA from 1 species
GAUGAACGCUGGCGGCGUGCCUAAUACAUGCAAGUCGAGCGAACAGACGAGGAGCUUGCUCCUCUGACGUUAGCGGCGGACGGGUGAGUAACACGUGGAUAACCUACCUAUAAGACUGGGAUAACUUCGGGAAACCGGAGCUAAUACCGGAUAAUAUAUUGAACCGCAUGGUUCAAUAGUGAAAGACGGUUUUGCUGUCACUUAUAGAUGGAUCCGCGCCGCAUUAGCUAGUUGGUAAGGUAACGGCUUACCAAGGCAACGAUGCGUAGCCGACCUGGGAGGGUGAUCGGCGACACUGGAACUGAGACACGGUCCAGACUCCUACGGGAGGCAGCAGUAGGGAAUCUUCCGCAAUGGGCGAAAGCCUGACGGAGCAACGCCGCGUGAGUGAUGAAGGUCUUCGGAUCGUAAAACUCUGUUAUUAGGGAAGAACAAAUGUGUAAGUAACUAUGCACGUAUUGACGGUACCUAAUCAGAAAGCCACGGCUAACUACGUG